CCCUCAAAUUGUAGCUCCAGGAAGACUGUCCUUCUGGCAGAUGGAGCCCCUUUCUCAUUCAUUGGGGAUGGGGGCCCUCCCCACUUCUGAUUUCAUUUGGGGCCUUUGCGUGCCCACUGUUGUAAAGAAAAAGAUACACGUCCCUUUGCCUAGGGGGACUCUUUUCUAAUGCUGCGAUCUACGCUUUGGCCGAGGUCAGUCCACUUGAGCUUUGGGCACUUCGCGCGUGUGACUUCAUGAAAGCUCGGCCCCAUCCCCCUCCCCGCGCCCCGCCCCCACUCCGCUCCGUGCAGAAGACUGGCUCUCCACCUCCUGACUUAGGGUACCCUGCCCCACCUCCUGGCCCUCCUGGCGCUGCCCCCCCCAACUCCCGCCUCCGCCUAAGAUGCCUCUAGUUUUGACUCAGCUGAACUACCUCUCCCCAGGCUAGCGGCCUGAUGAGCUCGCUCUUUCUCUCACUCUGCUAAGAGGCCCGCCGGCAGUUCAGGGGAGAGGGCUCGCUCCUCGCUCGCUCUCUCUCUCCACUCUCUCCCUCUCUCCAUCACUCCCUCUCUCCCCCUCUCCCCCUCUCCGCUUUACGGCUGCUGAAAACCCCAUGCAGAGCUCAGCAGCCGUACCGCAGACAAGCCCGCUCCUGCCAAGAGAAAGCUGAAAACAACAACAAUAACGAACAGAAUCUCAGAAUUGGAAGGACCAUUUGGGGCCAACCCACACCUGAACAGGAGUUUCCAUCUUCCGCAUCACCAACAAAUGACCAUCCAGCCUCGACUUCAAAGGUGAGGAAUAUAAUUAUCUCUGAAGGUUGCCCGUUUCACUUUGGGACUAUUCUAAAUAGUAUAAACAUUUGUUUUUUGGAACAUGAACCAUAAUCUAUUCUUCUGCCAUUUCUAUGCAUUGUUCCUAGCUACAGAAUCUGGCGGGGGGGAGCUAGGUGGCACUGAGGAUAGAGUGCUGAGCCUAGUCAGGAAGACUCAUCUUCCCAAGUUCAAAUCUGGUCUCAGACACUUACUAGCUGUGUAACCCUGGGCAAGUCACCUAAUCCUGUUUGCCUUAGUUUCCAAAAUGGGCUGGAGAAGGAAAUGGCAAACUACUCUAGUACCUUUGUCAAGAAAGGUAAAUGACUAAAAUGCUGAAGAACAAGAGUCUGAAAGCCUGAAGAGUGGGCAUGAAAUAAAUGCUUAUUGCAUAAAUGAAUGAAUGAGUGA
rnacentral:lncRNA from 1 species